rnacentral:rRNA from 1 species
UACAGAGGGUGCGAGCGUUAAUCGGAAUUACUGGGCGUAAAGCGUGCGCAGGCGGUUAUGUAAGACAGAUGUGAAAUGCCCGGGCUUAACCUGGGAACUGCAUUUGUGACUGCAUGGCUAGAGUUUGGCAGAGGGGGGUGGAAUUCCGCGUGUAGCAGUGAAAUGCGUAGAGAUGCGGAGGAACACCGAUGGCGAAGGCAGCCCCCUGGGCUGACACUGACGCUCAGGCACGAAAGCGUGGGGAGCAAACAGG